rnacentral:other from 1 species
UGUUCUCUGGCUUGUGCGUGGGUUGACCCUAAAAUCUUUGAGCCUAUUUAGAAAACCAAUGGAACCGAUCAGCCGGCGAUGUUGCGCAGGUCCGCACUACAGUGGAAAGCCUGAUUCGCCUCGAGACGUUCCACUCUUGAACCCUUGGUUCAAGAUUACGGUUACCCGCGGCAUGUUGGAGAACAC